UUAACUUCUGGCAGUGAAUUCCAGGGCCCCUCUCCUCAUUCUGCAUGAGCUGAGAGGGGUCUUUUUCUAGCCAUGGUGAGGAUUGUCUGGGACGGACCAGUGGGUGGGACUGGGAAUCUGGGCUCUACGUGGCUAAUUCAGGGUCUAAUUUGUGGGGCCCCAGGGAGCAGCUGAAUGCUUCCCCAGGUGCACAGCUGGCUUCUUGUAGUGUUGCUAUUAUGGGAUUACUGGAAAUGGCAAACUGAGCAUCAAGCAGCAGGACCUCUUUCCUCGGACUCUGAGGGAAAGUUAGCAGCAACAGCUCCUGCUCGUGGCAAUCUUUGGCUGGAGGAAGGGAGUGGACAGUGGAGGGGAGGAUGCUCCUCUUGUGAGGAGAAUACACCCUCCGUUUCAAAGCUCUCUAAGGGAUAAGUCUGUAUUCUGUGGUCAUUCCUAGCCAGCUUCUCAAGUUGUUUUGUAAGACCCAAAUAUCUCUUCUAACAUUUAGCAAGUAGGUAACACUGACUGAGCACUGCCUCUUUGAAGAAUGUAUGAGGAGAUACAAAGGAACACAGGCACGUGCUCCUUGAAUUUAAAAUGUACUUGAUUUCAAUUCCCCAAAGAACAAAGAAUUAGAAUUGAUAGAGUUAAUGACAGAAGUAUCAAAAAUAUAUGAAAGGAGCUAUAAAAACUGGGACAUGUCAACGUUGUUCUAUUUGCUACGUAGCAGUGUUUGUUAAAAAAUCGCAUUUUAAUGUCGGGAUAGAAAAUAAAAACAGAAAAAUUAUGAGCACAUGAGAGGUUAGGAAUAGCAGGGUCUGAGCAGCAGGCCAGGGAUGGCCUUCCAUGUCUUGGGUCUUUUCUACCUUUCCAUCUUCACCACAGGUUGGAGUAGCCUAACUUCCUCGUUGCUUGUUUCUUAAGUCUUCUUAAAACUGUUCUGUCCCUAACUGUUCUGUCAAUCCCAAAGCCUUCUUUUCUAUUUUUCUCACCUGGCCUAGGAACCCUCAUGCAAACAGGUCACCCUGCAGCCUGCCUACACAGUCCAGAGGCCCCAAGAGGGUUUUGCAGAGAAGCCCUGUCUAGACACCCAGUAUGGAUGUCAACAGCUGAGGGCAGGUUGCCUGUGGGGAGGGCUACUAACACAAAGAGGGACCCAUCACCCAGGACCACAGUGUUGUCAAGGAAAGACACUGGAGGAGAUGCGCUGUCAGCAAUGUUCUGCCAGUGCAGAUCUUCGGAGAGACCUGGGGCAUCAGAUGUGCAGAGAGGGUGUGAAGAUCCUGCCAUCCACUCUGGUAUGAAGGCCUCUGUGUCUCAAAGAUGAGGAGAGAAGAAAGCUCAGGUCUAAAAUAUUUGGAUUAAAUAUGCUUAUUCAAUUUUUAUUUGCAGAAUUAAAUCCAUUUGGCCAGGCUAGAAGCUUGCUCACUUUGUAGAAACUGACUCAAGCUUGUAUAUGAAAAGUUCUGGGAAAUGGGAGGAUUCAGGACCUGAGGAGGUAAAAUGAGGGCAAUUUGGGGGCUAAUGAGACUGUGGUCUCUUUUCUCGCCUUUUGUUAAAUGGGUAACAUAACAGAUGCACAGGGGAGGAAGGUGGACCCAAUAAAGCCAGCAAAGUAACGAUGAAGCCAAUAUGAGUGCUUAAUGACAUCUGCAGAGCUUGUCUGGGAAUACGCAAGGUUUUGAUGACAGAGAUGCCCAAACCUUCCUCUUAUGAUGGUUGGGCUAUUAGUAUAUUUUUUGAGAAGAGAAAGCUAAUGGGUACCUCAAAACCUACCAGCUUCUGGUGUAGAAGGAAGU
ensembl:lncRNA